CCAGAAUCUUAUCUACUGUUUUCCUUGAGUACCCGUGCUUUUUUACUAUCUCUUUUGUUCUGCCGAGUUCUGUGUGUGAAGAGGUUUUCUGUGCUGCAGUGCGUUGGGGCUCUUUGAACGUAUGACCUGGUAGCUGCCUUUUUGUGCGUCCACCUGUCUCUCGACCACUUGGGUGUGAGGACUUCUAUAUUGGUGGGCUUUCGAUGGACGGUUGUGUGGAUCGCUGGGGACUCGUAUGCAGUUUGGGUGUCCAGGAGGUGUGUCCUAUGUUCGUCUUUUUGUUCUGUUUUGGGUUUAGGACCGUGUUUUUUGUCUGUGGAAGCAUUUGCGAGUUCCUCUGUUCUGUCUGCUGUGUCCCAGGCGGCAGGAGCGUCGUCCACGUGCCUGGUGUGAAGGGUUGCCUCUUCAAUCAGGUU
rnacentral:lncRNA from 1 species